GCUGGUUCUCCCCGAAAUAGCUUUAGGGCUAGCCUCAGGGAAAAGAUUGCAGGCGGUAGAGCACUGAUCAGGAGAGGGACCUACCCGGUUACCAAACCCAGUCAAACUCCGAAUGGCUGCAAUCAUACCUGGGAGUCAGACUGCGACUAAUAAGGGCCGUAGUCAAAAGGGAAACAGCCCAGACCAUCAGCUAAGGUCCCCAAUGCCGUGCUAAGUGGCGAAGGAUGUGGCAUUUCAUAAACAACCAGGAUGUUGGCUCAGAAGCAGCCACCAUUUAAAGAGUGCGUAAUAGCUCACUGGUCGAGAGACGCUGCGCCGAAAAUGUCCGGGGCUCAAGCACGGAACCGAAGCUAUGGCAUGAUAGCAAUAUCAUGGGUAGGGGAGCGUUCUUAUAAGGAAGAAGCAUGACCGGAAGGACAUGUGGACGAAUAAGAAGUGAGAAUGCCGGUAUGAGUAUCGAAAAGAAAGGUGAGAAUCCUUUCCACCGAAAGCCCGAGGGUUCCUGAGCAACGAUCGUCGACUCAGGGUAAGUCGGGACCUAAGCCGAGGCGAGAAGCGUAGGCGAUGGACAACAGGUUGAAAUUCCUGUACCGGAUCAAGUCGAUCGAGCGAAGGAGCGACGCAGGAGGGCACAUGAUCGCGCGGCUGGAAGAGCGCGUCCAAGUGCGUAUGUUGCUGCAGAGGAAAACCCCUGCAGCUAAAAGCAGAGACAUGAUGGGGAGUUAAAGGAAACUUUGACGAACUCAUGGAUCCCACACUGCCAAGAAAAACUUCUAGCGAGACAAGAUCCGCCCGUACCGUAAACCGACACAGGUAGGCGGGGAGAGAAUCCUAAGGUGCGCGGGAAAACCCUCGUUAAGGAACUCGGCAAAUUGCAUCCGUAACCUAGGGAGAAGGAUGGCCCCCGGUCAGUGAAGAGCAGAAACGCUCAGAGCUAAAAGGGGCGGCAGAAAAGAGGCCCAAGCAACUGUUUACCAAAAACACAGGUGCCUGCGAAAGCGAAAGCUGAAGUAUAGGUGCUGACGCCUGCCCGGUGCCGGAAGGUUAAGGAGAGAAGUUAGCGAAAGCGAAGCAUCGAACUGAAGCCCCGGUGAACGGCGGCCGUAACUAUAACGGUCCUAAGGUAGCGAAAUUCCUUGUCGGGUAAGUUCCGACCCGCAUGAAAGGCGUAAUGAUUUGGGCACUGUCUCAACGAGGGGCCCGGUGAAAUUGAAAUACCUGUGAAGAUGCAGGUUACCCGCGACUGGACAGAAAGACCCCAUGGAGCUUCACUGCAGCUUGAGAUUGAAUCCCGGUGACAGAUGCACAGGAUAGGUGGGAGGCGCCGAAGCAUUGCCCUAGGGCGGUGCGGAGCCGAUGUUGGGAUACCACCCUUCUGUUGCUGAGAUUCUAACGCGAGGAGUAACGACCCUGCGGACCCUCUCAGGCAGGCGGUUUGACUGGGGCGGUCGCCUCCGAAAGAGUAACGGAGGCGCCCAAAGGUUCCCUCAGGCCGGACAGAAACCGGCCGAAGAGUGCAAAGGCAGAAGGGAGCUUGACUGCGAGACCAACAAGUCGAGCAGAGACGAAAGUCGGGCUUAGUGAUCCGGUGGUACUGAGUGGAAAGGCCAUCGCUCAACGGAUAAAAGCUACCCUGGGGAUAACAGGCUAAUCUCUCCCAAGAGUUCAUAUCGACGGGGAGGUUUGGCACCUCGAUGUCGGCUCAUCACAUCCUGGGGCUGGAGUAGGUCCCAAGGGUUGGGCUGUUCGCCCAUUAAAGUGGUACGCGAGCUGGGUUCAAAACGUCGUGAGACAGUUUGGUUCAUAUCCAUCGCGGGCGCAAGAAGUUUGAGAGGAGCUGCUCCUAGUACGAGAGGACCGGAGUGGACGGAUCAACGGUGUCCCAGUUGUCACGCCAGUGGCACGGCUGGAAAGCCGCAUCCGGGAAGGAUAAACGCUGAAAGCAUCUAAGCGCGAAGCCAACCUCAAGAUGAGACUUCU
rnacentral:rRNA from 1 species